GACGAACGCUGGCGGCGUGCUUAACACAUGCAAGUCGAACGCUGAAGACCUGGCUUUUGUUGGGUUGGAUGAGUGGCGAACGGGUGAGUAACACGUGAGUAACCUGCCCUCUUCUUUGGGAUAACGCCCGGAAACGGGUGCUAAUACUGGAUAUUCACUGAUCUUCGCAUGGGGGUUGGUGGAAAGGUUUGUUCUGGUGGGGGAUGGGCUCGCGGCCUAUCAGCUUGUUGGUGGGGUGAUGGCCUACCAAGGCUUUGACGGGUAGCCGGCCUGAGAGGGUGACCGGUCACAUUGGGACUGAGAUACGGCCCAGACUCCUACGGGAGGCAGCAGUGGGGAAUAUUGCACAAUGGGCGAAAGCCUGAUGCAGCGACGCCGCGUGAGGGAUGGAGGCCUUCGGGUUGUAAACCUCUUUCGCUCAUGGUCAAGCCGCAACUGUGGGUUGUGGUGAGGGGAGUGGGUAAAGAAGCGCCGGCGAACUACGU
rnacentral:rRNA from 1 species